rnacentral:rRNA from 1 species
AUAAACGCUGGCGGCGUGCAUGAGACAUGCAAGUCGAACGAAGGAUCGGGCUUGCUCGAUCCUUAGUGGCGGACGGCUGAGUAACGCGUAGGUGACCUACCCCGAAGUGGGGAAUAACUGCCCGAAAGGGUGGCUAAUACCGCAUGUGGUCGCACGUUCAUUCGUGCGAGUAAAGCCGCAAGGCGCUUCGGGAGGGGCCUGCGUCCGAUUAGCUCGUUGGUGGGGUAAUGGCUUACCAAGGCGACGACCGGUAGGUGGUCUGAGAGGACGAUCACCCAGACUGGGACUGAGACACGGCCCAGACUCCUACGGGAGGCAGCAGUCGGGAAUUUUGCUCAAUGGGGGAAACCCUGAAGCAGCAACGCCGCGUGAGGGAUGAAGGCCUUCGGGUUGUAAACCUCUUUUGUCAGGGACGAUGAUGACGGUACCUGGCGAAUAAGCCACGGCUAACUACGUG